rnacentral:rRNA from 1 species
UACCAGCACCCCGAGUGGUCGGGACGUUUAUUGGGCCUAAAGCAUCCGUAGCCGGUUCUACAAGUCUUCCGUUAAAUCCACCUGCUCAACAGAUGGGCUGCGGAAGAUACUAUGGAGCUAGGAGGCGGGAGAGGCUAGCGGUACUCGAUGGGUAGGGGUAAAAUCCGUUGAUCCAUUGAAGACCACCAGUGGCGAAGGCGGCUUGCCAGAACGCGCUCGACGGUGAGGGAUGAAAGCUGGGGGAGCAAACCGG